rnacentral:rRNA from 1 species
GACAAUGGUCAUACCUCCCUGAACACGCCUGAUCUCUUCUGAUCAUAGGACUAAGCAGGAUUGGGCCUGAUUAUUACUUGGAUGGGAAAUUCAAUAUUUUCAAUACAACCAUUCUCU